rnacentral:rRNA from 1 species
CUACGGGAUGCACCAGUGAGGAAUAUUGCACAAUGGGGGAAACCCUGAUGCAGCAACGCCGCGUGGAGGAUGACGCAUUUCGGUGUGUAAACUCCUUUUAUCAGAGAAGAAAAUGACGGUAUCUGAUGAAUAAGCUCCGGCUAACUCCGUGCCAGCAGCCGCGGUAAUACGGAGGGAGCAAGCGUUAUUCGGAAUCACUGGGCGUAAAGGACGCGUAGGCGGGUUUUUAAGUCAGGUGUGAAAUCCUAUGGCUCAACCAUAGAACUGCACUUGAAACUGGGGACCUAGAGUAUGGAAGGGGCAGGUGGAAUUAGUGGUGUAGGGGUAAAAUCCGUAGAUAUCACUAGGAAUACCGAAAGCGAAGGCGACCUGCUGGGACAUUACUGACGCUGAGGCGUGGAAGCGUGGGGAGCAAACAGGAUUAGAUACCCGGGUAGUC